rnacentral:misc_RNA from 1 species
AAGUCGUAACAAGGUUUCCGUAGGUGAACCUGCGGAAGGAUCAUUAACACGUUCCAAACGUAUCAACCAAUGAGAAUUGUUUUCACCUCUCCCUAUGCUGAGAAUGAAUUGGAACUUGAUAUAGGCCAUGAAUGGGGCUGCCGCAAGGCGCCAACCUAUAGAAGUCACUUAUCAAAGCGAAAGUUUUGAUAGACAAUUGUAUUUCAGUAUUAGGCUUCGUCUUGCUAAUUUGAUCUCCAUUCAUGAUCGUGUUAGCGAGACACAUAUUAACCUAUUUCACCCCUUUUUGCUAGUUGACUUUUAUAUGUUGUUCUUUGCGCAAGCAAGGUUCACACGUUUAAUUAUUUGAACGUUAAAAAUACAACUCUUAGCAAUGGAUAUCUUGGUUCUC